GGAGGAGAAGAACUACGAGGGACUAAGUGCUGUUAUGCAGAUACAGGAGAUGUGCUGCAGUCCUAUAAAGAAGAGUGUUUUUAGCUCAGGCCACGGCACAGAGGGAAGGCUUCCUGGAGAGGGUGGUGUUUUCAAGAAAUGCCAUCAACGAGAAGUAAAAUGUUGGUAAAGAGAGAGCGAGCGCAGGAAGGUGAAGGAAGGUGAAGCAGUUCAUUGGGGGUUUGAGGUUUGGUGGAAGUGAAAGGUUUUGAAACAGUGUCUUCUGUCUUCUCGUCCCACCCCUACCCCCACCUCUCUUCCAGCAGUUGGGUAUUAAAGCUCAAGGAGGAUCUGGUUUGCCUGGGGUAUAGGAGGUGCCAUCUCUUUAUCCACGCUCCAGUGACACAAGAUGCCCUUCAAUGGCGAGAAGCAUUGUGUGGGCGAAGACCAGCCGAGCGAUUCAGACUCUUCCCGGUUUUCCGAAAGCAUGGCUUCCCUCAGUGACUAUGAGUGCUCCAGGCAGAGCUUUACAAGCGACUCCUCCAGCAAAUCCAGCUCCCCUGCUUGUAAGCUGACAGAGAGCAGAGGCUGGGGGGUGGGCGUGGAGGUGGUUCUAGACAUGCCUGUUGUAUUUUAAAACUUAGAAAUGAGUGAACAUGAAGUACCAACUUCCCUUCUUUUCUAGAUGUACCAGAAUGGCACUGCCAGGGCACUGCAGCUGUCUUGUACAUGCGCUCAGCAGUAAAUAGCCACCAACGUCUAUAAUCUCCCCAUUUUUAUUUUUAUCGCUGUCUCUGAUCUGCUUUGGUCUGACUAUAAAUCAGGUCUCCCAGCCCCACCUGUCUUCUCUCUCAAGUAGCGGAAAGCUACUCCUUCUUGAGAUCUGUUUUUGAGCCACAGUCAAGGAUAAAUUCAAAUCUGUCCUUUCUGAUUUACAUGGGGGGAAACUUGCCCCAACUCAAGGGUCAGGCAGGAAGUGAAAUAAUCUAAAGGGUUUCCUGCUGAUUUCAAAAGCCAUUGUGCAAAUCUCCCCCAGAAAAGUGCCCAGGAGGAGAAUUACCACACUAGGGGUGUAAGAAGGAGUUAAAAGAGUGGCCUUGGUGAAGGGGGAUACCUUUUUCCUUUUCUGUGUGUGAAAGCUAGAGGCGUGUGAAACAGAUGUGGGUUUUUUUUUUUUAGCUUUUUAAUUGGCAUUUUGUAUAGGAAAUAUAACCCAUUAAACUGCCAAAGCAAAUGC
rnacentral:lncRNA from 1 species